AAUGAAGACGACGCUGCUUUUACUCCUCUAUCUGCUGCUGUGGUGUCAAAUUACAGAAGGUUUAUUUGAUAAACGGGUAAAUUUAGGUGAAAAUGUGACAUUAGACUGUCAGAUUGAUGUAAAAGAGAUGUUUUGGGUUUUCCAGAAACUGACAGAUGCUCCAGUGCUGAUACUGCGGACUUUCUCAACAGAAUCUACAGUAUCUCAUAUAUUAGAGGAAAGAUUCAGAAACAAAUAUUCAUCACUCACUUUGAGCCGUUUGUUUAUUAGUAGCAUAACUAUUGAUGAAAUAGGAGUAUAUUACUGUAUAAAAAGAGACAGUACAACUAUAAAGUUCAGCAACGGCACCAGACUCUACAUCACUGGUAAGCUUGUGAGAAAAUCAUGACAAACCUGAAUUGUUGCCAGAUAUGAAUACUGCAAUAAACUGUUACUUUAGCCUUUAUUUCGGUUAGAGAUCUACAUAAUGUUAAUGUAUGUUUGAUAUUUCUUAAACACAAAUGUCUUACCAGAAGAUAAGAGUCAGACAAAACCAAACGAGUCUCAUUAUCAAACGACGCAGGAGGCUCUGAUAGUUUUAUACAUCAUACUGAACAUCAUGAUGUUUUCUGCAGUAAUAGGAUAUUAAAUGAGAAAUGUUGGUGCUUUUUUUUUAGCCCUAUUUCAGAUCAAACUUCAACUGUGUAAGAAAAGACAACAACAAAAUGAGGAACUGGAGAAGAUUUUCUGCACAAGUGCGGCAGAGUUUUCUGAAGUGGAGUUUCGUCUUUUUCAACCGAACAACAACACUUUUGCUCCUUUUCAAAAUCCAAUGACAAAAACCAGACGCAUAUAAUUAUCAUUAUCAUUGCAGUCUACAGAAUCAUGUUCUGCUGAAUAAUGAAAGCAAAAUAAUGUUCGCUUGAUUGCUGACUCUUGUUUCAAAUUGACUGAUGUUUGUAAAUUUUACAUAGGUAAUGUAAAAAUGAUGUUUUCAGCAUGCCUUCUG
rnacentral:lncRNA from 1 species